UACGGGGGGGGCAAGCGUUGUUCGGAAUUACUGGGCGUAAAGGGCUCGUAGGUGGCCAACUAAGUCAGACGUGAAAUCCCUCGGCUUAACCGGGGAACUGCGUCUGAUACUGGAUGGCUUGAGUUUGGGAGAGGGAUGCGGAAUUCCAGGUGUAGCGGUGAAAUGCGUAGAGAUCCGGAAGAACACCGGUGGCGAAGGCGGCCUGCUGGGCAGUAGCUGACACUGAGGCGCGACAGCGUGGGGAGCAAACAGG
rnacentral:rRNA from 1 species